AGAAUUUGAUCUUGGUCAGGAUGAACGCUAGCUACAGGCUUAACACAUGCAAGUCGAGGGGCAGCAUGGUCUUAGCUUGCUAAGACUGAUGGCGACCGGCGCACGGGUGAGUAACGCGUAUCCAACCUUCCCCUUAGUAGGGCAUAGCCCGGCGAAAGUCGGAUUAAUACCCUAUGUUUUCCGUUGAGAGCAUUUGAAGUGGAACAAAGAUUCAUCGCGUAAGGGAUGGGGAUGCGUCCGAUUAGGCAGCAGGCGGGGUAACGGCCCACCUGGCCUACGAUCGGUAGGGGUUCUGAGAGGAACGGUCCCCCACAUUGGUACUGAGACACGGACCAAACUCCUACGGGAGGCAGCAGUGAGGAAUAUUGGUCAAUGGGCGCGAGCCUGAACCAGCCAAGUAGCCGUGCAGGAUGACCGGCCCUAGUGGGUUAGUAAACUGUCGUUUUGGAGGGGAAUAAAGUCGCCUACGUGUAGGCGUUUGUAUGUACCCUCAGAAUAAGGACCGGCUAAUUCCGUGCCAGCCGCGGC
rnacentral:rRNA from 1 species